rnacentral:rRNA from 1 species
GACGAACGCUGGCGGCGUGCCUAAUACAUGCAAGUCGAACGCAGUGGGGAUGGGUGAGUAACACGUGGGUAACCUCCCAUCAGAGGGGAUAACACUUGGAAACAGGUGCAAAACCGAUACUGAUGGAUGGACCCGUGGGGCAUUAGCUAGUUGGUGGGGUAACGGCUCACCAAGGCCACGAUGCAUAGCCGACUUGAGAGGGUGAUCGGCCACACUGGGACUGAGACACGGCCCAGACUCCUACGGGAGGCAGCAGUAGGGAAUCUUCGGCAAUGGGCGAAAGCCUGACCGAGCAACGCCGCGUGAGUGAAGAAGGUCUUCGGAUCGUAAAAUUCUGUUGUUAGAGAAGCGGUAUCUAAACAGAAAGCCACGGCUAACUACGUGCCAGCAGCCGCGGUAAUUC